AGAGUUUGAUCCUGGCUCAGGACGAACGCUGGCGGUGCGCCUUAUGCAUGCAAGUUGAGCGAAGCUUUUUGGUAGUUUACUACUAGAAAUGACUGAGCGGCGAACGGGUGAGUAACGCGUGAGCAAUCUACCUUAGUUACUGGGAUAGCCCGAGGAAACUCGGAUUAAUACCGGAUAUUCUUAUUUUUUCACAUGAAGUUUUAAGGAAAGGUCAGCCGAACUAAGAUGAGCUCGCGUUCUAUCAGCUAGUUGGUGGGGUAAAAGCCUACCAAGGCUACGACGGAUAGCUGGUCUGAGAGGACGAUCAGCCACACUGGGACUGAGACACGGCCCAGACUCCUACGGGAGGCUGCAGCAGGGAAUAUUGUGCAAUGAGCGAAAGCUUGACACAGCGACACCGCGUGUGGGAUGACGGUUCUAGGAUUGUAAACCACUUUCAGGAGGGAAGAAAAUGACGGUACCUCCACAAGAAGACCCGGCCAACUAUGUGCCAGCAGCCGCGGUAAUACAUAGGGGUCAAGCGUUGUCCGGAUUUAUUGGGCGUAAAGAGCUCGUAGGCGGUUCAACAAGUCGGUCGUAAAAGUUUAGGGCUCAACCCUAAAAUGUCGAUCGAUACUGUUGUGACUAGGAUACGGUAGAGGUGAAUGGAAUUCCGAGUGUAGCGGUGAAAUGCGUAGAUAUUCGGAGGAACACCAAUUGCGAAGGCAGUUCACUGGACCGUGAUCGACGCUGAGGAGCGAAAGCUAGGGGAGCAAACAGGAUUAGAUACCCUGGUAGUCCUAGCUGUAAACGAUGGAUACUAGAUGUAGGAACUGGAUUGACGGUUUCUGUAUCGUAGCUAACGCGUUAAGUAUCCCGCCUGGGGAGUACCUGUCUCUUAUACACAUCUCCGAGCCCACGAGACCGUACUAGAU
rnacentral:rRNA from 1 species